UGUUCCCUACGGGACGCAGCAGUGGGGAAUAUUGCACAAUGGGGGAAACCCUGAUGCAGCGACGCCGCGUGAGUGAAGAAGUAUUUCGGUAUGUAAAGCUCUAUCAGCAGGGAAGAAAAAAGACGGUACCUGACUAAGAAGCCCCGGCUAACUACGUGCCAGCAGCCGCGGCAAUACGUAGGGGGCAAGCGUUAUCCGGAUUUACUGGGCGUAAAGGGAGCGUAGACGGCG
rnacentral:rRNA from 1 species